UGCGUAGGCGGCCUUACAAGUCUGAGUUGAAAGCCCACGGCUUAACCGUGGAGGGUGCUCGGAAACUGUAAGGCUUGAAUCCAGAAGAGGCAAGUAGAAUUCUAUGUGGAGCGGUGGAAUGCGUAGAUAUAUGGAGGAAUACCAGUGGCGAAGGCGGCUUGCUGGUCUGGGAUUGACGCUGAGGCACGAAAGCGUGGGGAGCAAACA
rnacentral:rRNA from 1 species